GAAGAUGGGCUAGUUUAACGUGUAAAGGAUACGACAGGUAUUGCAAAAGCUCCAGUUACCUCCGCAGAUACUACAUUAGAUUUAUGUGUAAACUGACUGAAAACUUCUAUUCUAACUGCUGUCAAGUCGAUCCAGUGACAGAGCCAAUCACAACACCUGAACCAACGACAACGACAACAGAGGUACCUACGACCGAGCCGCCAACAAAACCACCGACCACUGCGGCUACAACCGACGCCCCUACAACCGAGCUGCCUACAAUCCCACCGACCACUCCGUCUGGACCAACUCUGCCAGAAGUCGCGGACAAAACUUUCUUAACCGCAUGUACACAACGAUGUGUCCGCAACGACCUAGUGGAUUCACUGUGUGGUACUGGGACGCUGGUCGAGGAAUGUGACAAUCUUCAAGUUCCAGAGUUUGUGGGAUCGUAUACCUGCUGUUCAGGUUAAUACAGUGGAUGCCUCCACAUUUCCACUGGAUGCUUCACUCCAUCUUUUUUCCGUGAUAAUAAACUAAUUUCGCAG